rnacentral:rRNA from 1 species
GACGAACGCUGGCGGCGUGCUUAACACAUGCAAGUCGAACGCUGAACCCGCUUCGGUGGGGGAUGAGUGGCGAACGGGUGCGUAACACGUGGGCAACCUGCCCCCGGCUCUGGGAUAACUCCAAGAAAGUGGGGCUAAUACCGGAUGUGACCGCUGGCCGCAUGGUCUGGGUGUGGUAAGGGUUUCCGGCUGGGGAUGGGCUCGCGGCCUAUCAGCUUGUUGGUGGGGUAGUGGCCUACCAAGGCGACGACGGGUAGCCGGCCUGAGAGGGUGACCGGCCACACUGGGACUGAGACGAGGCAGAGGCACCUAAGGGAGGGAGCAGUGGGGAAGAUUGCGGGAGGGGCGGAAGGCGGGCGAAGAGAGGCCGCGUGGGGGAAGACGGCCUUAGGGUUGUAGACCUAUUUCGGCAGGGACGAAGCGCAAGUGGCGGUACCUUCAGAAGAAGGACCGGCCAACUACGGG